rnacentral:rRNA from 1 species
UACGAAGGGUGCAAGCGUUGUUCGGAAUUACUGGGCGUAAAGCGCGCGUAGGCGGGCUGGAAAGUCGAUUGUGAAAUACCUGGGCUUAACCUGGGAACUGCAGUCGAAACUUCCGGUCUUGAGUGCCUGAGAGGAUGGCGGAAUUCCCGGUGUAGUAGUGAAAUACGUAGAUAUCGGGAAGAACACCUGAGGCGAAGGCGGCUAUCUGGCGGUGCACUGACGCUGAGGCGCGAAAGCGUGGGGAGCAAACAGG